rnacentral:misc_RNA from 1 species
GAAAUGCGAUAAGUAAUGUGAAUUGCAGAAUUCAGUGAAUCAUCGAAUCUUUGAACGCACCUUGCGCUCCUUGGUAUUCCUUGGAGCAUGCCUGUUUGAGUAUCAUGAAAUCUUCAAAGUAAAUCUUUUGUUAACUCAAUUGGUUUCUACUUUGGUAUUGGAGGUCUUUGCAGCUUCACACCUGCUCCUCUUUGUUCAUUAGCUGGAUCUCAGUGUUAUGCUUGGUUCCACUCGGCGUGAUAAGUUAUCUAUCGCUGAGGACACUGUAAAAGGUGGCAAAGGUAAAUGCAGAUGAACCGCUUCUAAUAAUCCAUUGACUUGGACAAUACUUUUAUGAUCUGAUCUCAAAUCAGGUAGGACUACCCGCUGAACUUAAGC